CACCCUGGGAAGGGAAAGGCCAGAGCAGCCGAUGCCGGUUCUGGGGGAUGCCGGAAAGCCCAGCCUCCUCUGCACCUCCAUCCAGAACCGGGGACCCGCAGCACCUGCAGCAGGGGUGCAGGGUGGGAGGCAGAAGGGGCCUGGUGCCCUCGGAGGCUGCACCUCACGGUACCAGUCACUACCCAGGGCAGCACGCCUGUUUGCUGGCCUCCUCUUGGUGUUAAACAUGGUGUCCAGGUCCCCGGUUGGAGACCCCAGCGGUGUACCGGGUGGGGGUCUUAGCUCCCACUGACUUGGGGCCUUCAACCACACUGGCAUCCCAGGCCUUCCUCCUGACUGAUUUCUGUUUUAAAAAUAAUGUGGAACGUUUUCUGGCAUCUGGUGAGGGCUUCACACACUGUAUAUUCAGGGCAGGACUUAAGGAAUGAGUUCAGAAGGUAUCUGGUCACUGGACAAACGGCAGGCAAGCCCCCUGUGCUCCUCGCUGGGAGAAAGCAGCCUUCAAGGUCCCAGCACCCCCAAACCCACGAGCUCACACAAAAUAACGCGAGCCACAAAUGCAAGCCACAUCUGUAAUUUAACAUCUUCUAAUAGCCACAUUUUCAGAAAGUGAAAAUAAGCAGAUUGAGCUUCUAGAGCCUCAGAGAUGGAAUUCACUGUUUUGCCGCGAUUUGACGUUAAAUUAUUGACCCAUGGGGAGGAGGGUAACUUCCCCUGAAAAGAAGGCAGAGAUGUUUUGCUGUGCCCAGUGUGAGGAAGCGAAGGAAAAGAAAGAUCUUUUGAAAAUGUGUACAUUUACUUGCAGCUUAAAAAUUCCAAGUGCCAGACAUUUUUCUUGGAGGAAAUAAAUGUCUUCAAUUUAUUAAUCUUA
rnacentral:antisense_RNA from 1 species